GACGAACGCUGGCGGCGUGCUUAACACAUGCAAGUCGAACGGAAAGGCCCUGCUUUUGUGGGGUGCUCGAGUGGCGAACGGGUGAGUAACACGUGAGUAACCUGCCCUUGACUUUGGGAUAACUUCAGGAAACUGGGGCUAAUACCGGAUAGGAGCUCCUGCUGCAUGGUGGGGGUUGGAAAGUUUCGGCGGUUGGGGAUGGACUCGCGGCUUAUCAGCUUGUUGGUGGGGUAGUGGCUUACCAAGGCUUUGACGGGUAGCCGGCCUGAGAGGGUGACCGGCCACAUUGGGACUGAGAUACGGCCCAGACUCCUACGGGAGGCAGCAGUGGGGAAUAUUGCACAAUGGGCGGAAGCCUGAUGCAGCAACGCCGCGUGCGGGAUGACGGCCUUCGGGUUGUAAACCGCCUUCGCCUGUGACGAAGCGUGAGUGACGGUAAUGGGUAAAGAAGCACCGGCUAACUACGUGCCAGCAGCCGCGGUGAUACGUAGGGUGCGAGCGUUGUCCGGAUUUAUUGGGCGUAAAGGGCUCGUAGGUGGUUGAUCGCGUCGGAAGUGUAAUCUUGGGGCUUAACCCUGAGCGUGCUUUCGAUACGGGUUGACUUGAGGAAGGUAGGGGAGAAUGGAAUUCCUGGUGGAGCGGUGGAAUGCGCAGAUAUCAGGAGGAACACCAGUGGCGAAGGCGGUUCUCUGGGCCUUUCCUGACGCUGAGGAGCGAAAGCGUGGGGAGCGAACAGGCUUAGAUACCCUGGUAGUCCACGCUGUAAACGGUGGGUACUAGGUGUGGGGUCCACUCCACGGGUUCCGUGCCGUAGCUAACGCUUUAAGUACCCCGCCUGGGGAGUACGGCCGCAAGGCUAAAACUCAAAGGAAUUGACGGGGCCCCGCACAAGCGGCGGAGCAUGCGGAUUAAUUCGAUGCAACGCGUAGAACCUUACCUGGGUUUGACAUGGAUCGGGAGCGCUCAGAGAUGGGUGUGCCUCUUUUGGGGUCGGUUCACAGGUGGUGCAUGGCUGUCGUCAGCUCGUGUCGUGAGAUGUUGGGUUAAGUCCCGCAACGAGCGCAACCCUUGUUCACUGUUGCCAGCACGUUAUGGUGGGGACUCAGUGGAGACCGCCGGGGUCAACUCGGAGGAAGGUGGGGAUGACGUCAAGUCAUCAUGCCCCUUAUGUCCAGGGCUUCACGCAUGCUACAAUGGCUGGUACAGAGAGUGGCGAGCCUGUGAGGGUGAGCGAAUCUCGGAAAGCCGGUCUCAGUUCGGAUUGGGGUCUGCAACUCGACCUCAUGAAGUCGGAGUCGCUAGUAAUCGCAGAUCAGCAACGCUGCGGUGAAUACGUUCCCGGGGCU
rnacentral:rRNA from 1 species